UAUUGAGUAUAAAUAAUAAUACAAAUUAGAGAAAUCAAUGCUUUAAACGGUCUAGCUGGAUCUUAAAUACUUGUGUGAAUUUAUAUAUUAUGUAUGUAGUCCUUUGAAACGCGCGCCGAAAUGAUUU